UACACAUGCAGUCGAACGGUGAAGCCAAGCUUGCUUGGUGGAUCAGUGGCGAACGGGUGAGUAACACGUGAGCAACCUGCCCUGGACUCUGGGAUAAGCGCUGGAAACGGCGUCUAAUACUGGAUAUGAGCUCCUUCCGCAUGGUGGGGGUUGGAAAGAUUUUUCGGUCUGGGAUGGGCUCGCGGCCUAUCAGCUUGUUGGUGAGGUAAUGGCUCACCAAGGCGUCGACGGGUAGCCGGCCUGAGAGGGUGACCGGCCACACUGGGACUGAGACACGGCCCAGACUCCUACGGGAGGCAGCAGUGGGGAAUAUUGCACAAUGGGCGGAAGCCUGAUGCAGCAACGCCGCGUGAGGGAUGACGGCCUUCGGGUUGUAAACCUCUUUUAGCAGGGAAGAAGCGAAAGUGACGGUACCUGCAGAAAAAGCGCCGGCUAACUACGUGCCAGCAGCCGCGGUAAUACGUAGGGCGCAAGCGUUAUCCGGAAUUAUUGGGCGUAAAGAGCUCGUAGGCGGUUUGUCGCGUCUGCUGUGAAAUCCCGAGGCUCAACCUCGGGCCUGCAGUGGGUACGGGCAGACUAGAGUGCGGUAGGGGAGAUUGGAAUUCCUGGUGUAGCGGUGGAAUGCGCAGAUAUCAGGAGGAACACCGAUGGCGAAGGCAGAUCUCUGGGCCGUAACUGACGCUGAGGAGCGAAAGGGUGGGGAGCAAACAGGCUUAGAUACCCUGGUAGUCCACCCCGUAAACGUUGGGAACUAGUUGUGGGGACCAUUCCACGGUUUCCGUGACGCAGCUAACGCAUUAAGUUCCCCGCCUGGGGAGUACGGCCGCAAGGCUAAAACUCAAAGGAAUUGACGGGGACCCGCACAAGCGGCGGAGCAUGCGGAUUAAUUCGAUGCAACGCGAAGAACCUUACCAAGGCUUGACAUAUACGAGAACGGGCCAGAAAUGGUCAACUCUUUGGACACUCGUAAACAGGUGGUGCAUGGUUGUCGUCAGCUCGUGUCGUGAGAUGUUGGGUUAAGUCCCGCAACGAGCGCAACCCUCGUUCUAUGUUGCCAGCACGUAAUGGUGGGAACUCAUGGGAUACUGCCGGGGUCAACUCGGAGGAAGGUGGGGAUGACGUCAAAUCAUCAUGCCCCUUAUGUCUUGGGCUUCACGCAUGCUACAAUGGCCGGUACAAAGGGCUGCAAUACCGUAAGGUGGAGCGAAUCCCAAAAAGCCGGUCCCAGUUCGGAUUGAGGUCUGCAACUCGACCUCAUGAAGUCGGAGUCGCUAGUAAUCGCAGAUCAGCAACGCUGCGGUGAAUACGUUCCCGGGUCUUGUACACACCGCCCGUCAAGUCAUGAAAGUCGGUAACACCUGAAGCCGGUGGCCCAACCCUUGUGGAGGGAGCCGUCGAAGGU
rnacentral:rRNA from 1 species